AGUGAACGCUGGCGGUAGGCCUAACACAUGCAAGUCGAACGGUAGCACAGUAAGAGCUUGCUCUUACGGGUGGCGAGUGGCGGACGGGUGAGGAAUACAUCGGAAUCUACUUUUUCGUGGGGGAUAACGUAGGGAAACUUACGCUAAUACCGCAUACGACCUACGGGUGAAAUCAGGGGAUCUUCGGACCUUGCGCGAUUGAAUGAGCCGAUGUCGGAUUAGCUAGUUGGCGGGGUAAAGGCCCACCAAGGCGACGAUCCGUAGCUGGUCUGAGAGGAUGAUCAGCCACACUGGAACUGAGACACGGUCCAGACUCCUACGGGAGGCAGCAGUGGGGAAUAUUGGACAAUGGGCGCAAGCCUGAUCCAGCCAUACCGCGUGGGUGAAGAAGGCCUUCGGGUUGUAAAGCCCUUUUGUUGGGAAAGAAAAGCAGCAGGUUAAUACCCCGCUGUUCUGACGGUACCCAAAGAAUAAGCACCGGCUAACUUCGUG
rnacentral:rRNA from 1 species